GGGAGCGAUUAUACCAGCACUAAUGCACCGGAUCCCAUCAGAACUCCGCAGUCAAGCGUGCUUGGGCGAGAGUAGUACUAGGAUGGGUGACCUCCCGGGAAGUCCUCGUGUUGCAUCCC
rnacentral:rRNA from 1 species